rnacentral:lncRNA from 1 species
UUUUUUUGACACAGUGUGAAAGACACAAGAAACAAGAACAAGGACGUGACAAGAACAAGAACGAAAAUAACAGAACACAAGACGCAAACAAAAACGAAACAAGAACGCAAAUAACAGAACAAGGACAAAAACACGAACCUAGACAAAUUACAAAGAAAAAAAAAUAGGAUAGGAUAGGAUAGAACCUGUAUCAAGAGCCGAAGCUCUGAUACCAGAUGAUGUGAACCUUACGGGGC